GUAGGCAUAUCAUUGGAAGAUUGACCAUAAGAGACUACAUUUACCAGGGGUCCGCCCGGUGUCCUGUGUCGAAAUUAUUGCGUAAUCUCUAGGUCCAUGUGCGUUCCAUUUCUUCAGAAGAGAAAGUCAACUGCUGGAUUUAUCGUCGAUAGAUAUGUGAAAAACACCUUGAGGAUUGAUUCUAAACAUCGGUUUGCCAUGUUUCUGUCGAUAUUAUGGAGUUAAUUUUGAAAAAAGUUUGCGGUUUAAUUACUUAAUUUUCGUUUUUUUUCUUACCCAAACGUGAUGGAGAAAACGGAGCGAAUAGUCAACACAAAUAAUCUUUUUGUAAAAACUGAACAUUUGCAAUCUAACUGAGAGUCUCCUCAUUGAAAACAUCUGAAGUUCUUCAAAGUUCUUCAAAGGGCUCAGACCACACAGACACCAUGGUUGGACAUGAGGGCUGUCUGACUCUCCCUCCUCCGGUCCUUCUUCCGCCCCAGCCGGACCCUCCAACAGCCGGCACUGGACCCCAGUAGAGCCAGCCCGGCCGAUAGCAGAACCAGCCCCAGCACCGAGAUGGUGGAGCCGUGUGAGUUGAACAUGUACGCCACAGCAGUUACCACAAUACCGGCAAUGAGGACCACCACGCCGAAUGGCACUGUGCACCGGUAGCACGACAUCUCCGCCCCACCUGUGGCCGCUGUCAGCUGCAUCUCGUUGAUUAACGGGACAGUCGUCACGACGACGCUACAGUCCUUCUUGUUGUUGUUGGAUUUCUCUGUGGGGACUUUCUCGGAGGUUGAUGUUGGCAUUUUCAUGGCGCUUCUUGGGACUUUCGGUGAGUUUCUGCUGAUGGGGUCGUCUGGCAUAGAGAUUUUGUUAGCUAGGAAAUGGUGGGCCAUCUUAAUUUUCAGUGGUCAACCUGUUGAGUCUAUCAAUCAGUGUGGCGUACAGAGAGAGAAAAAUACAUUUUAGUCAUAUUGAAAACAAAACAGAGAAAACCCUGACUACACUUUAAGGAUUAGCACAAAAAUAAAGGAUGUCAGCAGUUCAAAUUUACUGAAUUACAGUGAGUUGAGGUAUGUCUCUAAAUUGAAGCCUGUUCCCAUUGAAAUGAAAGAUCUCUGUGCCAAUGUCUAUGCCCUGGCAGUAAUAUUUCCACCGGAUGCAUUGUUGGCAGUUGGACGUGAGGCAUCGACAGUGCGCAACAUAACUGUCAAAUUUCCCAGAGAAAGGCAGCUAACAUUAUGACACCUCUGUGAAACAGGAGCCAACCAAUUUGAUAAACAGUCCGCUCUAAUGAUGAAAUAAAUAAUGUAGCCUAAAGCUGUAAAAAAACGCUAUGAUCCCAGCUAGCACAUUUGGUUCCUUGGAAGUUGUGGGAACGUAUGGUUUUGGUUUCACAUUGGUUGUGGGAAUGAAGCCAAACAUUUCCUGACUGGUAAAACUGAACAUUUUGCUUGCUCUGUGAAAAUGUAUUUGGAGGUUACAAGGAGGUUCUGAGAACGUUUUACUCUGGAAGUGUCACGUUCUGACCUUUAUUUCCUUUGUUUUGUAUUUAUUUAGUAUGGUCAGGGCGUGAGUUGGGUGGGCAGUCUAUGUUUGUUUUUCUAUGAUUUGGGUAUUUCUAUGUUUCGGCCUAGUAUGGUUCUCAAUCAGAGGCAGGUGUCAUUAGUUGUCUCUGAUUGAGAAUCAUACUUAGGUAGCCUGGUUUGCACUGUUUGUUUGUGGGUGAUUGUCUAUGUUGAUGGCUUGUUUCAGCGCAGCUCGCAUUAGCUUCACGGUUGUUAUUUUGUUUACUGUUUUUGUAUAGUGUUUCAGUGUUCAGUUCUUUCUUUAAUUAAACAUUCAACAUGAACACAUAUCACGCUGCAUUUUGGUCCUCCGAUCCUUCUCGCCUCUCCUCUUCAGAUGAAGAGGAGGACGACCGUGACAGGAAGGUUCUAAGAAAGUUUUCCUGGGAGGUUUUAUUAAUGUUCUGACAAUGCAAAUUAUAGGUUAUUUGAAGGUAAUUUAAUAACAUUCUGAGAAUAUUUUCUAAAUAUUUUUAAAGUUUUGUAGUGGUUAUUAUUGAAAGUUUUCUUAACACUCUAAGAACGAAAUUUCGAGGUUUUUGAAUAACUUUCUAAAAACCUUCACUGAAUGGUCCAAUAAGACAUAUUUUGGGUAGGACAUUAAUUUGUUUAGGUAUUAAUCAUGUAAACUGUUUUAAAAAAAUCUGAUACAGCAUAAUUGAGAUUUGAACCUGUGUGCUCCUGUUCUCUAUCACUGGAAUGUGUCCACUGCACCACCAGGAUAAAGUUAGGAUGCUGUGUUUUGUUACGCAUACAAAGCUGUACAUUUAGUCUAUUCAAACAGAACCCAUUUCAAAGGAAACAAUCACUCCAUAAGAUCAGGUGUGGCCAAAUAGUAAGCGCAGGCAACACACCUGAACACAUUUAACCAAGAUAGAGGCUAGAGAGAUUUUUGUUGAUGCUGAGAACAGAAUAUAUAUGUUUUUAAAUAACAAUCUUAGAACGUUUUCUGAACAUUGCUUAAGUUUUCUUGUGUUUUUUUAGGGAAAGUUUUGUUUAUUUUCUGAGAACGGAAUUUAGAGACAAUUGAUGUGGAUGUUUUUCUUUUACAUUUCUUUAUUGCAAAGAACUAGCAUAAAAGAGAACCAUACAUUCUCAGAAAGUUCUGAAAACAUUGCUUAAAUAUAACUUUUUUUCAUUAGUCCACUGUUGAUACAGUCCCAAAAUGCUUUGCAUGUCAGCAGUCAAGUUUAUCAGAUAUUGGACUUUCAAGAAGCAAAGAGUCAUCAUAUGCUGCAAAAUGCAAUAGUUAUUUUGUGGAUUUAGAACGUUCCCCGAAUGUAAUAAAAAUAUGACAUUAAAUACAGUGGCUUGCAAAAGUA